UACGUAGGGAGCGAGCGUUGUCCGGAAUCAUUGGCGUAAAGAGCGCGUAGGUGGAUCAAUUAGUCUGCUGUGAAAGUCAAAGGCUCAACCUUUGAAAGCCGGUGGAUACUGUUGAUCUAGAGUACGGAAGAGGCGAGUGGAAUUCCUGGUGUAGCGGUGGAAUGCGCAGAUAUCAGGAGGAACACCAAUAGCGAAGGCAGCUCGCUGGGACGUUACUGACACUGAGGCGCGAAAGCGUG
rnacentral:rRNA from 1 species